GAAUGAAGAGGGAAAACAGAAGAAACAGAGAGAUGGACAUUUGAGUAAUUACUGCAUUACUAAAUCCUAAAAGGAGACAAGACUGGUGUGGUGGAGGUGGGGCUACCAGCGUCUCCACCCUGCUUUGUGUGAACCCCUGCUCCUCUCUGCAAAACCCUAGCCAGCCACUUUCAGCUCCAGCUCUGCCUUACUCAGCC